UCUUGAUCUCAGAUCAGGCAGGAUGACCCGCUGAACUUAAGCAUAUUAGUAAGCGGAGGAAAAGAAACUAACCAGGAUUCCCUUAGUAACGGCGAGUGAAGCGGGAAUAGCCCAAUCUGAAAAGCUAGUCUGCCCUGGAGCAGGUCUCGCAUUGUAGGUUGAUGAGGCGUUUCCUAGUGUUAAACCUUUCAAUUAAAGUUCCUUGGAACAGGACAUCAUAGAGGGUGAUAAUCCCGUGAUUGAUUGAACGACAUACCAGUUUAACACGUCUACGGAGCGUUUUCUUAGAGUCGGAAUGUUUGGGAUUGCAUUCCAAAGUGGGUGGUAAACUCCAUCUAAGGCUAAAUACUGGCGAGAGACCGAUAGCGAACAAGUACCGUGAGGGAAAGUUGAAAAGCACUCUGGAGAGAGAGUCAAAACAGUACGUGAAAUUGCUAGCAGGGAAACGUUGGGCACCAGUACACGGCAAUCAAUGUUAAUGAUCAGUCGGUCGAUUGGUGAAUUGUAAUGCGGCGGUUAUCCCCUUAGAGAUUGUCCUAUUAGCGGCGACUCACG
rnacentral:rRNA from 1 species